GCUUGGGGCCAAAUAAUUUAUUGAAGAUCAAAUCCACGUUAAUUGCCUUUCUUUACAUGAAUCGAUUCAAACUUAGCAUUAGAAAGCAGUAGUUAACGAUAUUAAACUCAAUGGCCUCAAAGAUUCAAAUAAGGCUCAUUUAUGAAACUGUAACUAUUAAGCUUUUCUUUUGGACAAACAUAACAUUUCACCAUUCAAUUUGGAUCAACAUAUCCCUUAUCCUUCAUCUCAUAUCCACUUUUCACAUUUACAAAUAGUUGCAAAAAACAAUUAGAAGUUCACAAAUCAAAUAUGUAUUUUAAGCAAUCCACUGUACGAAUUCAAACUAACCAAAUCCAAACAGUUCCAAUUAUACAGGCCACGCACGUAAGUCUCCGAUUUCAGCUACUAAGCAUUUUAAUAAGCAAAAUACAACAGGAACGUAAACAACUUAAUUAACAUGCUUCCUCAUUCAUUCCUCGAACUCAUGUUUGUAGGGUUUAUCACAAUUCAACAGGGAGGCAGUAGAGUACCUGGAAAGUCAAGGUAACAAUAGAAGAGAGGAGUGUGAGCAACAGUUUAAAUUAGCCAAACAACAACAACAAGAAACACAACAGCCUUCAGAUGCGAGAUUUAAAUGGUUCAACAUAUUCAAAACCAAAUUCGAAACCAGGAGAUCAAUUCCAGAAGCGAAGAUGAACACCAAAAAAAACAUGCUAGCUUGAAUACACCCAAAAUGAGUCAAUAUGACACACAAACAUGAGCAGAAACUUCAGCAAUCAGAACAUGAAGCCAAGCUAUGCAAAUUCACACCACACCUUGAAACUGAACUAAAAAUACAAUGGAACAGUGAAAUUUUGUUGUUUUCUAAUUUUUGUAUGUAUUGUUUUUUUUGUGUUUUUGUGUAUCUAAAUGCUGAAGCUAAUCUAAGAGUGGAAAUGAAAGGAAAAUCAGAUUUUCUUGUGAAUUAUUAGGCUGGAAAUUUAAAGACCCUUUCACAAGGCAAUUGAUGCCUUUAUAUAGGCAAGAGUGAGGGCAACCCUCAGAUUUUGAUUUUUCUUUUUUUAGCCCCUGCUCAUUUUCACUUUAAACCUUUAUUUUCUAACUUGUUCCUCAAGUUACUCCCUAAGUUUUACUGAAAUCUACAGUAAAGUCUUAUUCUAGAAGCCUCUAGGAUGCUCUUUUGGUUAUACAAUUCCUAAGUUACCCUUCCCCUGUUUUAAAUUUACUAUUUUAAAAGAUUCUGCCAUUUUAUAUGCCUAAACUACCCCUCUAACAGCCUCACAAUUACAGCUCAUACUAACUGACCCAAGAACCUUACCCCAGUUAUUGAUUUAAACCUAGUUAAACUAUCCUCAGCUAUAACCAAUUCCAUUAACCUACAAACUAAUUAAUACUAACAGAGAUUUGCAUUAACACUUAAAGAAUUUACUAACUAAAUUUUAAAAUAACCCUAAGAAACUGCAAUUGUCUAAAAUAGACUUAACGAUUGAUUAUUAAUCAACACUAAGAUUAUUAGGAACUAACUAAUUAACGAAAAAAAAUUGCAAAGAGCUUGAAUCGAAAGAAAAGAAGAAGAACGGUCAGAACACAAAACUAAACAAAACCAAAUUGAGCACACACACUAAACUUAACAGAGGAAUCAACUAUUAUUCAAGACGAAUUAAUAUCGAGUGAACAAAUAGAGGGACAAAGUAAGCACGAAAUUUAGAAAAAUCAAAAAUCAAAACUGAAAAUAAUCUGAACUAACAGAAAUAAAUUUUAACUAAUAAUAAUUAUGAGACAAUGAGAAAGAAGGGGAUGGAUCAGAAUUUACCAAUCAAACAUGAAACAGGGGAUUGGGAGUCAAAGGGAUGAAUUACUAAAUCGAUAAUUGCUUAUUCAAAAUGAUUAUCGGAAAAAGAACGAUAGAAACAAAGAAAACACAGAAAAAGAAAAACUAAAAGAGAACUCACCCUUGAGACUUCUGCCCGGAAAAACUCACCGAAAUCGGAGUCUGGUUAAUGUCAUUGAUCUAUUUAAUUCAAAAUAAACCAACAACAUUAACGAGAAGGUGAUUCGGCCUCACAAACCUUCAAAUAGACCCCAACAGAUGAACCCUAGCCUCGCCGUUCAUUGAACUUCAAAGGGAUUUGAAGGGUUUUGGGACACAUGUUUAUGUCAGGGGAACCCUUGGUAUCAAUUUUGUAAAGUUUGGGUCGGAUUAGGGUUUUUCACCCAUUCUCAGAUUUGAAAUUCCGGAAUUUUGGCUGGAUUUUGGGAGAAAAUGAUGGUGGGAAUGGAACGGGGAUGAGGAGAGGGUUAUAGGGUAGAGUUUUAGGGUCGAUUGAAGCUCCGCCUCCGGCGAAGACGACUUCCGGCGGCGGUUCGAUGGCGGAGUAACAGAAGAGGACUUGAUGAAGAUGAAGGGUACGAGGAAGGUAAUUCUUGUCGUUUGAUUAACACAUGUGUUAUUACAUAUAUAUGUAAAACACAUGCAAUUGUUAUGGACCGUUGAUCUAGA
rnacentral:lncRNA from 1 species